rnacentral:rRNA from 1 species
UUUAUUGGAGAGUUUGAUCCUGGCUCAGGAUGAACGCUGGCGGCGUGCCUAAUACAUGCAAGUCGAGCGAAUGGAUUAAGAGCUUGCUCUUAUGAAGUUAGCGGCGGACGGGUGAGUAACACGUGGGUAACCUGCCCAUAAGACUGGGAUAACUCCGGGAAACCGGGGCUAAUACCGGAUAACAUUUUGAACCGCAUGGUUCGAAAU